rnacentral:lncRNA from 13 species
AUCGCGACAUCGCUGCAGCUUCCCCGGGGCUGCUCGUGCAAAAAAAAAGGUGAAAAAGAAAAAAAGGAGAAAAAAAACAAAGCCUAAAAAGGACCCAGGGCCAUGUGUGGGGGUGCGGGGCUGUCCCAGGGGCGGGAGGUGAGGGACACUUGGGGACGCGUCCCCCUCUCGCCCUGCCCGGGGGGCUCCUGCAGGAGCCGGAUGGUUCCAGGGCUUGGGGCCCGUCCUCAAGGUGAAGCAGCAGCAGGGAUCAAAACUUGUUUGCUGCUUGCAGUGUUUGUACAGCACAGCGUCCCUGGGAGAAGUUUUCAGAGGUUUCUGAUGUAAAUCAGCACUUGGGCCUCAUUUUAUCAGUGUAAGUUCUUGUAUCAGUGAAAAAUAUUGGAGUUAUCUCAUUUUAUCAGAGCAAAUUCUCAAUAACUCCUGUGGGUUUGAUGUGCUGGAGUGGCUUGACGCUAAGGGCUGAGUUCUGAUUUAGUUUAGGAUGAGAUAAUUUAAAAGACAAGAAAUAGGCAGCUCUCAAGCUCCUUUAUAUUGGUGUGAAGCAAGGGCAGCUCGGCUCAAACUCUGUGUGAUUUCAACUCCAAAUUCCAAAUUCUGAUCCCAGUUUAACCAAAGUAAAUUCCAGUGAUAUUCCCAUGGAUUGGCUCUUGUACAUCCAGGUGAUGAAUUGAGUGUGACCAGGAAACUGGGAAGGAGUGAGAGUUUGAACCAAAGGUUGUCUGUGGGGUAGUGAAUUUCAGAAUGGAUUUGGGUGUUUUAUGGAAAACAACUGGAAGUUUUCUUUCCUUUGCUUCUUUAAAAUCAACCAUUUUCACUUCAGAGCUAAGAACAGAAACCUCCAACACGAGGAAGUUCUGCCAAGUCACUCUGUGCCCUUUUAUAUUACAUUGAUUGUCCUAUUUCAUUAAAAUAUAUGUAGAUUUAUGCUUGGAGUUUCAUUUUUGACGUUUUAGUGAUGAAUGCUCCUCUCAGCUGUGCUUUUAAAUGAGACUUCAAACGCCCCAUUUUUAUUGAUUGGUUGUAGAUAUAAAUUUUUUCUAUAAGUAUAAACAGAUGUGAAGAUUUAAGACAAAGUUUGCAACUUAGGGAAGCCUUAGAGAGAGGUAGCAAAAUUUAGAGUCACACAUGAAAAAUGGAGGAAACAGAGAAUAAUAAAAUACAGAUAUGAUACUACAGGGAUUGAAUUUUGUAUUUAAUCCAUGUUGUCCUUUCUAAUCCCAAGGUAAAACCAUGACUGUGGUUCAGUUGUGCAUCAACAACCACUUGCUGCUGAACAAGGCCAGAUCUUUGUCCCUUUUUUGAUGACUACAUUAUCCUGAGGCAAAGAACUUCACAUUUUAGUUGUGCUGUAUGAAGAUUCCCUUUGUUUCUUUGAAAUCUGCUCCCCGAUAAUCCCAGCUCAUUUUCUUUACUCCUGAGAAAUAAUGAGUUAAAAUUUCUCAUUGGAGAAGCUGUUUUGGUUGCCCUUUGCAAGAUUGAUUUUAAUUUUGCUGCAUCCUUGAAACAAAAAGAAUAAUCUGAGGGUUGAGGGCUUGCCUUGGGCUCGGAGCAAAGGGAGAUUCAGCAGCUGAUUUCAGGGUGGUUUGAUUGUGUAUCAGCUCAGGGCUCAGCACUGAAUCAGUUCCUCUGCGAUAUCAAGUUUUUCCUGGAGGGUUUUGCACACCCCGCUGGAAAGUCCAACUCAUCAGAGCCCCCUCUGAUCUGUGGCUUGAGGGGGGAGAUAAGGGAAAGGAAGGGAGAUAGGGCUGAACCAAAUCUCUGAAGCUGAGCCCUACCAGGGCCUUCUUUUAGUCGGAGGAGAAGUUUUUACCAAAAAUGAGGAUCUUUUGAGCAGGGUGGUGGAGAGUAAGUGCAAACCCCUGAGUACAGCAUGUCCUCACCCUCACAGAGGUGCAGAUUAAACCAGGGCACUGCACAUUUAGCCCUUCCCAGCUGAUCAGAGGCGUUGUAGAAGUGAUAAGAAUGGGUUUUACUGCUUAUCUUCGUGUAUUUAACAAUCUUUAUAUAAAAAUUGUGCCUUGCAUUCGGCCUGCUCAGAGGUAAAGCUCAAAGGCUGCUCUCUAGAGAAGCAGAGCUUCUGAGAUGUGCUCUGUCUGAACAGAACCAGCAGAUUUUGAGGAAAAAAAGAGGUGAAAACCAAAGAAACAGCAUCAUUUUACAAAUGUUUUGGUGCUUUCUGUUCGGGGUGCAGAGCUUGGCCUAUAUUCAGGCGAGACGCUGGUAAAUAAAUGUCUUUUAUACUUCCAGCUGCAGAAACAACAGACACCAAAGCACCUUAGAAACUCUUGGUUGCAUAAUUCACCUGACCAACAUGCUCUAAAGUCACUGCUAAUAUUAAUGUUUCCACUGGGCCCGGUGGGGACGGGCUCGGUGUCACUUUGUGCUCUCCACUGCUGGAGGCCGCGCUCACGAAGAGCCCCAAGACACUCGUGUGGGUACAGGUGUGACUUUGUGGGCUGCAGAUAAAAAUAACAGGUAGAGUUGAG